GGAGGCGGUAGGGAGCUGGUGCUUCCUCUGGUCUUCAAAACCAGCGUGAGGUGUUAGGAGCAUCUCAGGUGGGUUCGAUUCCCAUCCGCUUCCGCCA
rnacentral:tRNA from 1 species